rnacentral:lncRNA from 1 species
AUAGUGUUUCGCAAUAUUGCAUCAGCCGGUUACGACUAGUUUUAUCAAUACACAUAACAUUCUUUACUGUUUUAAGUAUUAUAACGAAAAAAGUGGAAUUUAAACAACUGAAAUGUAUUCAAGAAUUCUACAAAGAUAUUAUUAGCCAGACGAAUUACAACGUGAAAAAUCCAAGACUUUAUAAAGACAACGAACGUUUAACACAAAAUAUAUCAUCGGAAGACUUCAA